CAGCAGCCACGGGAACACGAACCGUGCGAACGUUAUUCGGAAUCACUGGGCUUAAAGCGCGUGUAGGCGGGCCGUCACGUCGGCUGCUGAAAUCCCCCGGCUCAACCGGGGAAGUGGCACCGAUACGAGCGGCCUUGAGGGGGGUAGGGGGGUCUGGAACUUCCGGUGGAGCGGUGAAAUGCGUUGAGAUCGGAAGGAACGCCCGUGGCGAAAGCGAGGCCCUGGACCCUUUCUGACGCUGAGACGUGAAAGCCAGGGGAGCGAACGGGAUUAGAGACCCCCGUAGUCCCUGUCUCUUAUA
rnacentral:rRNA from 1 species